GCAGCGUUGAUCGUAUCCCGUCGGAGGUGAAAAACAACAUGAUCUGUUACCUGUGGAUUCUUUUCCCAUCCCUGGCCUCCAUGGUACAGGCAGGGGGAUCGGGAAGUGGCGAGG